UGCUUCUGAAGUGCCCUGCCCAAGAGCUCUCCAGCAAUCCAAACAGCCAGCAGACAAAGCCAUUAAACCUGAAGUGCCCAUGCAUGAUUACCUGGCAGAGAGCUGCAGGAGAGGGUUUGCAGCUGAGUCCCACAGGAACAGGCUUUGUCUGAAAAACAACCCCCGGCAGGUGCAGACUCGGUUGGAAAAAGCCAAGGCUGCUGCUGCCUGUCCUGCAUCUCCCUACCAGCCAUCCAAGGUUUGUUCCGCAGCCACAGAGGAUCAGACAGAUCAGUGUUUGGGAGCAGGGGCUUUGCUGCCACAGAGAUCUCCACACUCCAGUCCUUGGUCUGCAGCCUGGGAGAGAGCCAAAGCAGUGCUUUGGUGUGUUGCUCCAGCAGCUGGUCAGAGCAGGAGAAUGCCAGCCUUCCAGAGAGAACAGGGAGUGGGGCUGAAAAAAAGGGAGGAAGAGGAGACAUGACUCAGGGGAGGGCAAUGCCCCUUGAAUCAGGAGGACACCUCUGCAUUGAUCAGUGUCCUUGGAUGAGGGAGGAUUCAGGUCGGGAAGAGCAGAGGGCUCAGCCAAGGCAUCAGUCAGCUCUCCCUGGAGAAGUCCUGCUGGCUCCCAACUUGCCAUUUCUGCCA